rnacentral:lncRNA from 1 species
ACGGCACGUGGGACUCGUACACUCUUGGUCUAAUGGGAGGAGGAGGAGCAUGCUCCCUCGUCAGCUCAGGUUCGACAUCCACUUCCUCCUCCUCAUCACCCUCAUCAGGGAAGGGUGUGUCAUCUCCAGACUCAUCGGCAUUGUUGUCAUAAUCACUAUCAUCUUCCUGACUUUGCGCAUCUGCCAAAUCACGAGUUAGUACGUCAUCUAUGGGCAGCUGUUUGAGGUCAGGAACAUUAAGUUGCUCGUUUUCAUUGCACAAAAAGAAUAAAAUAAUAAGCUACUCAACUAGAUAAAUAAUUUACAUAUAGCUAUAUCACUUUAUUUACAAGUCGUAUUGUGUUGACGUUCCAUGAUAGACAGUUUCUUGUUGGUGAUGACUCCCCGAUGGACCACCAUGGUCCAACAUGCCAGAACUACGCAUAUUCCAACUAGGAGCAGGGUCAUAACUUGUAAAAUUCAUAUUCGGACGAUACCCCCUAUUGUUACACCUCCUUUUUACCUACACCCCCGGAAGGGAUGUAUAAGGGAGUUUUUUCCAAUUUAAGUCACAAUCGAAAUGAGAUUAUUUAUUUAUUAAAUAUAGAGUCGUCACUUGGGAUAAUUUUAUGGUGUCCCAAGUCACCGGUUUAAAAUUCCGAAUCGAGGAAAUUGACUCUUAUUUAUGGUCUGCGAACACAGAAAUCCGGGUAAGGAAUUCUGUUAACCCGGGAAAAGGUGUUAGGCAUUCCCGAGUUCCGUGGUUCUAGCACGGUCGCUUUGAUCAUACUUGGCUUAUUAAAUUGUCUAAUUACUCAUUUUAAAACCUAUGUGCAUUUACCGUUUACCGUUUUUUAAUUAAAAAAAUUAUUUUGAAACAAGUCACGCGUGAACGUGUCCACAAUUAAUAAUGCUCUAUUAUUAUUAAGAAAGUUUGGCCGAAGUUGCGCGAACGCAUACUUCGGUUUUGUUUUUAGAAAUCGCAAUCAUGUCACGUGGACGUGUCCACAAUCGCAAUGAUAUAUUAAACGUGCCUAAAGCAAACUACGAACAUUUGGUCAUUUUUAUAUCUAAGUUAUGAAAUUAAUACGAGGGCCAUGUAGGAUUAAACUUGUGAAUGGCGCACCUCGACCUAUAAUCCUAAAUUAAUUAUCGACCUAUUAAAUCAAAUAUUAUUAAGAAAAAAUUGAUCGAAGUUGCACAAACGCAUACUCCGAAUUGGUUUUAGAAUUGUAAUUAUGUCACGAACGUGUACAUAAUCACAAUCGUAUUUUAAACAGGGCCAAACAAACUACGAUGUAAAAGGAAUUGUUGUAAUCCUAGAUUCGACAAUUGUAUGAAAAAACCUGUAGGUACAUAUUAGCCUCAAUCUUUUACUACUGCUAGUUCUGUUUUUAAGCCCAUAAGCAAAAAUAAUUCUGGUGCUUAUUAACCAACGAGACAAUGCACCACUCUAACCAACACGCCAAGCAAAUACCAAUUUGAUCUUACCAGUACACUCCAUUGUGACUAAAGCAGAAAUAUUGAGCAUGCCAGAUGAUUAAAUACAGAACAAGGUUGCUUUCUUUAUAUCAUGUCAACAGAUAAGAUGAAACACACAUACAGAUCCAUUUCCCAUGUAGAUUUGUCAUAUUUAAUCUCAAUGUCCAACUAACUCGCAACCUUUAAUCUCCUAAGAUCUUUAUAUUCACAUCAAUGCAACCAUUGUUUUAGCAAUAAGAAAAAAAAAAGUCCAAUUCCAAUAAGAAUGCUGCUUCUCAAAGUAUCAAAAAGAGAAGUGAGAAAAAUCAAAAGGAGAAGAAGAGACGAUAGCUUAUUCAGUUCCUGCUACGCAAUGGAGAAUUACAUGUAUUUAUGCAAAAACAAAUGCAUAGUCUUUGAAUUGGUGUAAAGGGAUAGAAAGUGAAGAUCCUUUAAUUCCAGAACUCACACCCUAUGAUAAUUAAUCAGAAUAGAGACGAUUAAGACAUAACUCAUCCUAUAAUGAACACAUCAAAACAAAUGCAUAGUCUCUGAAAAUGCAAAUAGGUCCUGGGCAAAUUCAUCUCAGUAACCAGACCUAUAUCAUGAGGAGAAUGGACUGAACCAAACUUUCACAUCUUUGAAAGGUUAAACGAGCGCAAGAAAUCAGAUCCAAUGAGACUAACCAACAAAUCAAACCAACGAGAGCCAACAAUCAGAAUUUGCACUCAGAAAACUAUGUAGAUACGCUGCUCGCACAGUGCGAAACAGGGCAGAUUUUCAGCAGGGCCAACAACCAGACAAAUGCCCAAAAUACUGCAUGUAUCAGUUCGAUUUACUGCUCAAAUGGGGCUAAUUGAAACUAAACAAACUGGUAGGCUUGAAACGAGAAGAAAUGCAUUUGGUACAGACAUACAUGAAGAAUAGCUUGGCAUUCUAGUGAAAUCGAACACGAAACAAUAUGAUUGAUUAGCUAUCCAUGCUGCCAAAAGAAGAAUUCAAACAAAUGAAUGCAGCGAACCUCAUCUCAGACAUUACUAUAUGCCAUUUGACUCAAAUUUACUAGUCAAUAAGAUGGAACAUAGAUCCACCCUAUGGUGUUAUAGCAGUCAUGAGUCUAAACAGAUUUAAAGUUUACUUUAAUACUCGCAGAAAUUAACAGAAGAAAACAAGGCAGAAACCAACAGCCAAAUUUGGAUAACUAAUUAAGAGGAAAUCAGCAAACCCAAUAGCACAUAUUAAUUUAGCCCAUAACUAAUCAGAUUAAGCGAAGGGAGGAGAAAUGAACCUGAAAUCAGAAAUUCUUUCACUAAUAACAGAAGAAUACAAAGUUUUGCUCCAAAAUUCUAACGAGAGAAACAACAACAAAGGCCGAACUGAAAACGCGAACAAUGAAACGGAACCACGAACAGAGCAACCUCAACUCCGGCGAGUUUGCAACAAUAAUUCAGAUCACUUCCAUUUUUGAACCCAGAUUCAGAGUUGAAAGAAACAAGUAACAAGAACACUUUUUUGUUUUUUGAUUUUUUUUUAAAAAAGAAAGAAAGAAAGAAGGAAGCCCAAAACAAAACUCCAGAAAAAAAUUCUUCUGUUUCUCUGUUUUCAGAACCCCCCUCUACAAGAAAAGAGUCUCACCUUAUAUAUACUUCUCGAACCUUCUCCCUUUCUCCCGAAGAAACCUCUAAAACAAAAAAUCCCCAUCCCAAUCUGAUUUUUACCCAUUUCUGAUGGAAAAAGGGACAAAUAGAGGGAGUAGAUUGACUUGAAUCCAAUCUAACGCUCCCCAUUUUUCCUCAUUUCCAUCUGGAGGACAAAAAUCCGAAGAUAAUCCAAGAGGGCAUGUGAGGAAGAGGGAACCUGUCAGAAACGGUUAGAAAUGGCGAGAGGAGAGAAGGAGGGAACGCUUAGUUGUGAGAUUGGGGCUCACUGGCCUGAAUUUUGGCAAUUUUUGGGAGUGGAUUCGGUUGUUUGGAGAAGAAGUACAGUGUACGCAUCGUUUGAGCUCGAGAGAUUAGGGCUCUGGGUAUUUUUGU